GUGGCUGUGGCUCACUGGUAGAGUGCUCGCCUGGCACAUGUGAGGCACUGACUUCAAUCCUCAGCACCACA
rnacentral:tRNA from 1 species